GCCGCGGCGACCUCCCUGAUCUGUGCCGCCGCGCGACCUCCCGGACCUCCCGCCGCCGCGACCAGACCCCCGACCUCCCUACAACCGCCACGGCCGCACCCCACCUCCAACCGCAUCGCCGGCAACCACCGCCCCUCUUCCAACCGGCCUCCAACCACCUCGCUCCCCCUCCACCGCCGGCAAGGCUUCUCCUCCCCCUUGCUUCUCGGCCGGAUCCAGUGGGAAUGAGGCGCCGAUCGACCAAGCAGACGCGGCCUCCUCUGCUUCCAACACGGGGACGCCCUCCCGCCCGCGCGCUGUUGUCAAAUCACCGGUCGUCACCUGCUGCUGCUCCUGGGUGGUGGUGCGGUCUCCCUGCUUGGCCGCCGUGGGGAGCCUGCUGGAUGGCUCACGCGCCUCCCCAACUGCAGCGUCAAGGCCGUUCAACACCGCAACCCAAGGCCGUUCAACGUCACAACCCAAUGUCGUUCCACUCCCAUGAUCUCCCUCUUCUCUGACCCUGCCGAGGACUGGAGUGCAGCGCCACUGCCUCUGCUCAACCCUGCCCAAUGACGUUGCCGGCGGCCUCCUCCCGCGACGAGCUGGCUCUGAUCGCACGGCCAUGGCAGGCUCCCUUGCAGAGAGUUGGCUCUGGUCGUGGUCGAGGCCGCUGUCGCUUUUGGACGUUGUACACCAAGUGCAAAGAUGUUUUGUGAAAGUUCUAGUACAGCUAUACGGCGGCCGCCCUGAAGUUCUACUAUGGAUGUAUGCCAAGUUCUACGACGGCUAUACGCCGGCUAUCACGCCAGUUUGCAUGACUUGCUGCUGCUGGUUAUAUACUUUCAACCUUUUAGCUUGCUGUUUUGAAGUCUCCCUAGAACAUUCUUCUAAACUUGUGAUAUGAAGCUGCUACUUUUGUGAUCGAUUGGAUAUAUACAUUCGAUUUCUCUUCUCCCAGGCAUGUGUAGCUGUUUGCUUGUGCGGACACAACUCACAUAGUCUCCCAAAUCUCCAAAAGAACCAAAGUUCAGUUUCUAUCAAGUUACAAGUUCAGAGUUUAUUUCUUUAAUAUCUGAAGAAGACUUGUAAACGAUUAUACCGUUCACUGCUCAAAAAGAAGACUUGUACUUCUCUC